GGAAACAAAUGCUAAUACCGUAUAAUAAUUAAAACCGCAUGGUUUUAGUUUAAAAGAUGGUCUUGCUAUCACUAAGAGAUGGUCCCGCGGUGUAUUAGUUAGUUGGUGAGGUAAUGGCUCACCAAGACAAUGAUACAUAGCCGAGUUGAGAGACUGACCGGCCACAAUGGGACUGAGACACGGCCCAUACUCCUACGGGAGGCAGCAGUAGGGAAUCUUCCACAAUGGACGAAAGUCUGAUGGAGCAACGCCGCGUGUGUGAUGAAGGGUUUCGGCUCGUAAAAACACUGUUGUAAGAGAAGAAUGACAUUGAGAGUAACUGUUCAAUGUGUGACGGUAUCUUACCAGAAAGGAACGGCUAAAUACGUG
rnacentral:rRNA from 1 species